UAAAAAUUUGGCUUUCAACAAACACUCUGGUGGUUAAUUAUCAUAACAAUUUGUGGUUUAUUUCAACGAACAUCAAAUAGUACG